rnacentral:rRNA from 1 species
AACGAACGCUGGCGGCAGGCUUAACGCAUGCAAGUCGAACGAGAUCUUCGGAUCUAGUGGCAGACGGGUGAGGAACACGUGGGAACAUCCCUUUCAGUUCGGAAUAACGUUGGGAAACUAACGCUAAUACCGGAUACGUCCUUCGGGAGAAAGAUUUAUCGCUGAAAGAUUGGCCCGCGUCUGAUUAGCUAGUUGGUGAGGUAACGGCUCACCAAGGCUACGAUCAGUAGCUGAUCUGAGAGGAUGAUCAGCCACAUUGGGACUGAGACAAGGCCCGACCUCCUACGGGAGGCAGCAGUGGGGAAUAUUGGACAAUGGGCGCAAGCCUGAUCCAGCCAUGCCGCGUGAGUGAUGACGGCCUUCGAGUUGUAAAGCUCUUUUGUCCGGGAAGAUAAUGACUGUACCGGAAGAAUAAGCCCCGGCAAACUUCGUGCCAGCCGCCGCGGUAAAAC